rnacentral:lncRNA from 1 species
GCUGUCAGUGAGGCGUCUUCUCCCAGAGCAACAGCUGUCAGCACGGCAUCGUCAGGCUGUUCUUUCCAAUGAAGACGCACCGCCGACCACACAGCUGUCUGUGAAUGGCCCCGCGGGUACAAGAACAGGCGAUACACGGCAGUGGACCUUUCAAGGCAGUGUGUUGACCUCUGGCCAGUCUCAGCGGAAUCCACAAUCUUUGAUACCUACACAAACACUGAGCUGGUGGGGCUCCCGCUUGCUCUAGGGAAAUGAAACAGGUUAAGAUUGUUUGAUAUAACUAGUUGGGCCUGAGACCGUUCCCAGCACAGA